rnacentral:rRNA from 1 species
UAGGGAAGUCUUCCACAAUGGGCGCAAGCCUGAUGGAGCAACACCGCGUGAGUGAAGAAGGGUUUCGGCUCGUAAAGCUCUGUUGUUAAAGAAGAACACGUAUGAGAGUAACUGUUCAUACGUUGACGGUAUUUAACCAGAAAGUCACGGCUAACUACGUGCCAG